rnacentral:lncRNA from 1 species
GUGGUAUGGGUGUCUUCCUCCAUCUUGGAUUGUAAAGAACAGAGAACCAAAGGUCCAGAUUUUCUAUCGAGUUAGCAAAAUUUAAUGCAGGAAUGCAGAUAUUUAAUGUGAAUUUUCAUUUAAAAAAACCAAUUUAUAAGAAUAUUACUUAUCAAUAUUAAUAUUUUUGCAAUUUUUGAUUAUUUUUGGUUGUUUUAAAAAAAAAACAAAAAUUGGCAUUUUUAAAGGUAACUCCAAAAAGGUUUUCUGAAAGAUUCUACAUGGAAUUUUCCAAUUUUUUAUUUUAGCCGGAAAAAACGUACAGUGACCCAAUCUUUUCUUUUGAUAUUCUCACUAAAAGCUAUCUUUUCCUUAAGUAUUUAACAAUUCUAUCAUUUUGUUCAGUUUCUAAUCACAAAAUGGUGUUUUUUCCC